rnacentral:tRNA from 1 species
GGAUUUUCAGUCCUCUGCUCUACCAGCUGAGCUAUCCCGACCGUAGCAUCCCACCCUCAUUUUAUUAGAUGAC